rnacentral:rRNA from 1 species
UACGUAGGGAGCGAGCGUUGUCCGGAAUUACUGGGUGUAAAGGGUGCGCAGGCGGGACAACAAGUCAGAUGUGAAACGUACGGGCUCAACCCGUGCCCUGCAUUUGAAACUGUAGUUCUUGAGUGAGGUAGAGGUAAGCGGAAUUCCUAGUGUAGCGGUGAAAUGCGUAGAUAUUAGGAGGAACAUCGGUGGCGAAGGCGGCUUACUGGGCCUUUACUGACGCUGAGGCACGAAAGCGUGGGGAGCAAAC